UCGAGAAUCUUCGGCAAUGGGCGCAAGCCUGACCGAGCGACGCCGCGUGCGGGAUGAAGGCCUUCGGGUUGUAAACCGCUGUCGUAGGGGAGGAAGCAACCGUGAAGAACGGAAGUUGACCGAUCCUAGGAGGAAGGGCCGGCUAAUCUCGUGCCAGCAGCCGCGGUAAUACGAGAGGCCCAAACGUUAUUCGGAUUUACUGGGCUUAAAGAGUUCGUAGGCGGCGCAGAAAGUAGGGUGUGAAAGCCCUCGGCUCAACCGAGGAAUUGCGCUCUAAACUGUCGUACUCGAGGAACCUAGAGGUGAGCAGAACUGAUGGUGGAGCGGUGAAAUGCGUUGAUAUCAUCAGGAAUACCGGAGGCGAAGGCGGCUCACUGGGGGUUUUCUGACGCUGAGGAACGAAAGCCAGGGGAGCGAACG
rnacentral:rRNA from 1 species